rnacentral:misc_RNA from 1 species
GAUGAAGAACGCAGCGAAAUGCGAUACGUAAUGUGAAUUGCAAAUUCAGUGAAUCAUCGAGUCUUUGAACGCACAUUGCGCCCCCUGGUAUUCCGGGGGGCAUGCCUGUUCGAGCGUCAUUUCAACCCUCAAGCUCUGCUUGGUAUUGGGCUCCGUCCUCAGGGACGCGCCUCAAAGACCUCGGCGGUGGCGUCUUGCCUCAAGCGUAGUAGAAAACACCUCGCUUUGGAGUGCUGGGCGUCGCCCGCCGGACGAACCUUUGAAUUUUUCUCAAGGUUGACCUCGGAUCAGGUAGGGAUACCCGCUGAACUUAAGCAUAUCAAUAAGCGGAGGA